UACACUCGCAAGGUUUACCUGUGGGCUUGAGUUUCAAUUCUGUUAGUCCUGACUUCUUUUCUCCAAGCUUGUGCCAAGUGCCAUUUGUAGACAGGAGCCAUUCCUCCACAGCACAGUGAUAUUUGCCCCGAUCGCUGUCUUCCACAUUCAGAAUGUGCAGCUGAAAUAAGUCUUGGGAAACCUUCUCAGUAUGAAAUUUUUGUUUUCUCUGUGGGGUGUGAAACUCAUCCCCAGUUUUUAUAACAUUGGUUUGGUCCAUCUCCAGGAUCUUUAGCCAAGAGGCAUUAGUGGAAACAGGAGAAAAAUACCAAAUAAUGGCUAACUGAAGGUUUCCAUUGGACCGGGACAAGAUGCUACAUUCUAUAUCAGUGUUGGAGUUGAUGGAGAGCUCUUGGACUUGACUCCUUGAAUUCACUUUUAGCUUGCUCUCUAAAUUUAAAAAAAUGAAACAGUUACUUUGCUAUGAAAUAGAAAGUUAAGGUAGUAGAGACAUUAGAGGUCAAGUAUGACACUGCAUCCUCCCGCCAUCAUAUGGGUGAACUCCCUCUACAGUAGCCCCACUCACUGCUCAUACAGCUUUUGAACAGCAUCACUAGCUGACAAGGCAGCCCAUUUCAUCUCUGGACAGCUCUGCCCCUCCAGAAUGCUUUCUGAUAUCAAGUUGAACUUUAUCUCUUCAUAACUUCCAUCCACUAGUCCUAGUGCUACCUGUGCUUGGUAGGGGUGGUGUGGCAGAGGGAGUGUCACACAGACAAGCCCAGUAUCUCUCUUCCACAUGAUACUGCUUCGGUAUUUAAGCACAAGCAUCUCUUCUGUCAUAUUUCAUGUAUCAGAUUGGGAGAAAGUGGCCCUAUUAAUGCUGUGUUUGUGUGUUUACUAUGCAGAGUACUUCUGGAUUCACAAUUUCCAAACUCUAGUUGUAUCUGCCUUCAAACGUGGGUAAACAAAAGGAAGUUGUACAUGAGUGAUUAAAACUGUGUGUGUCUUUGCAGUCACUUAACUGUGGGAACAUUGUAUAGAUAUGGAGCCAACUAAUCUUUGACCCCAGCAGCUUUUCUGCUUUGUCAGAAAGAUGAGUGACAAUCCUUGUUCCCAAAUCUUCUUCUAGCAUCUUGCUGACAUCACCCACUCUACUUUUUUAACUGCUUAUUGAUGUUGCCCAUAGGUCCCUUUACUCUUCCUUCAACAAAUAUUUAUGAAGCACACACUAUAUUAUGUGCCAGACAAUUCCAGGCCCUGUGGAUAUCUUCCCUCAGUGGCUCACACUCUAGAGGGAGACAAGUGCAGGGACAGAGGCUUAGAGAUGGUGCCAAGUGCCAUUUGUAGACAAAGAGCCAUUCUACCACAGCACAGUGAUAUUUGCCCUGAUCACUGUCUUCCACAUUUAGAAUGUGCAGCUGAAAUAACUCUUGAGAAACCUUUCUCAAGUGUGAGAUUUUUGGUUGUUUUGUUUUGUUUGAGAUGGAGUCUUGCUCUGUCGCCCAGGCUGGAGUGCAGUGGCAUGAUCUUGGCUCACUGCAACCUCCACUUCCUGUGCUCAAGCGAUCCUUGUGCCUCAGCCUCCUGAGUAGCUGGGACUACAGGUGCACGCCACCAUGCCUGGCUAAUCUGUGCAUUUUCAGUAGAGACGGGGUUUCACUAUGUUGGCCAGGCUGGUCUCAAACUCCUGACUUCAGGUGAUCUGCCCGCCUUGGCCUCCCAAAGUGUGGGAUUACAGGUGUGAGCCACCACACCUGGCCUCAGUGUAAAAUUUUUGUUCCUCAUGUCCCUCAUGUAAGACAGAGGUAUAUAGAAGUGCCUAUCUGAGCACACAGCAGGGUCUCCUAGCCCAAAUACAGGAGUGAGGGGAGACUUCCUGGAGGAGAUAAUUCUGAGCUGAGUCUUAAGGGUUUAUAGGAAUUAUUCCGAUGGAGAAGAGGUUAAGGAUUGCCACACAAAAGAUGCAACUAGAUCAAAGACUUUGAGAGUGAGAGGGAACAUGGACAAUUGAGGAGCUGCCAGUAAUUCAGUGUGGCUGAAGCUCAAAUUCACGAUGGAAAGUUGAAGGAGAUGAUGCUGGAAAGACACAAAUGUACCAGAUGAUAAAGGACCUUGCAUGUCACACUGUGGGAGUUUAGAUACAAGGUGAACAUAAGAGUUGUGAUGACUCAGGUUUUCAACUUGGGUCACUGGUGAGGAGUGGGGACAUAAGGGGCAAUGCAGAAGAAAGAGCUUUGGAUGAUAAUGGUGGGUUUAUGUUUUGACAUAAUGAGUGCAGGCAUGUCUUGGAGACAGCUGGAUAUACGAGUCUGGAGAUCAGAAGAGAAAUUGGUCAAGAUAAUGAAUGUGGGAGUUGUGAACAUACAGCUUGUAUCCAUGGGUAGGGACGAGUCCACUGCAGGAGAGCGUAUAGAAUGAAAAGAGAACAAAGCUAAGAAUAGAAUCCAGAGAAACUGUUUUCUUUAAAGAAUAAAUCAGUGGAGGAGAAAAUGAAAAUCUUGUGUCAUGGUGCCAAGGAAAAAAGAAGUUUCAAGAAGACAGAUUGGGGCAGCAAUUGCAAAUACCACAGAGAGGACAAAUUAAUUAAGCAUGAAUUCAUGAACAAGGGGAUCAUUACUAUUACCAAAAAUGUUGCACAGCAGCAGAGAGAAUAAUGACAGUGACCACGUUUGAGCGUCAUCUUGGUGUGUCAGGUACUCGGCAUGUUAUAUAUGUCACCAUAUUUAAAUUGCACAUUAACAAUUUACAGAUCAGGUAACUAAGGCUUCAGCAGAUUAAGUGUCUCAUCCAAAGCUGUUCUGCUAUCCAGUGACUGUCAGAUCUAAAUGACUCCAACGUCUCUCCAUCACUCUUCCUAAGAGAAUGCAAACUAUAAGAGAGAAGAUACAUGACACAGCAGAACUUUGCCUAGUGGCAUCAUGGACUAGGAGUUGUGAACGAAAUAAAGACUGCGACACUUUCGUCUUCUUUUGGAACCGGGAUAGGAAAUUCCCCCAUUCAAUAGUGCCAUUGUGGGUGAUUCGAAUAAGCUGGUGGAAGAUGUGAGAGCUAGCUGGCUGGAACUGCCACGUCACAGUGAGUGGCACCUUGAGGUCAGAGUAACCGGCCCUCACGACACAGGACAGGUCAAAGGUGUUGGUUAACAUCACUUGCGGCUGACGGCUCAUCAGACUAACUUGUAAACUUGACUCUAGACAGAAAAAUGAAACAGAAUUUCUAAUAUAUUUACCAGAUUAAAAUAUAGCACUUUCAA